UGUGAGCUCGAUGAGUAGGGCGGGACACGUGGUAUCCUGUCUGAAUAUGGGGGGACCAUCCUCCAAGGCUAAAUACUCCUGACUGACCGAUAGUGAACCAGUACCGUGAGGGAAAGGCGAAAAGAACCCCGGCGAGGGGAGUGAAAAAGAACCUGAAACCGUGUACGUACAAGCAGUGGGAGCACGCUUAGGCGUGUGACUGCGUACCUUUUGUAUAAUGGGUCAGCGACUUAUAUUCUGUAGCAAGGUUAACCGAAUAGGGGAGCCGAAGGGAAACCGAGUCUUAACUGGGCGUUAAGUUGCAGGGUAUAGACCCGAAACCCGGUGAUCUAGCCAUGGGCAGGUUGAAGGUUGGGUAACACUAACUGGAGGACCGAACCGACUAAUGUUGAAAAAUUAGCGGAUGACUUGUGGCUGGGGGUGAAAGGCCAAUCAAACCGGGAGAUAGCUGGUUCUCCCCGAAAGCUAUUUAGGUAGCGCCUCGUGAAUUCAUCUCCGGGGGUAGAGCACUGUUUCGGCAAGGGGGUCAUCCCGACUUACCAACCCGAUGCAAACUGCGAAUACCGGAGAAUGUUAUCACGGGAGACACACGGCGGGUGCUAACGUCCGUCGUGAAGAGGGAAACAACCCAGACCGCCAGCUAAGGUCCCAAAGUCAUGGUUAAGUGGGAAACGAUGUGGGAAGGCCCAGACAGCCAGGAUGUUGGCUUAGAAGCAGCCAUCAUUUAAAGAAAGCGUAAUAGCUCACUGGUCGAGUCGGCCUGCGCGGAAGAUGUAACGGGGCUAAACCAUGCACCGAAGCUGCGGCAGCGACGCUGAUGCGUUGUUGGGUAGGGGAGCGUUCUGUAAGCCUGUGAAGGUGUACUGUGAGGUAUGCUGGAGGUAUCAGAAGUGCGAAUGCUGACAUAAGUAACGAUAAAGCGGGUGAAAAGCCCGCUCGCCGGAAGACCAAGGGUUCCUGUCCAACGUUAAUCGGGGCAGGGUGAGUCGACCCCUAAGGCGAGGCCGAAAGGCGUAGUCGAUGGGAAACAGGUUAAUAUUCCUGUACUUGGUGUUACUGCGAAGGGGGGACGGAGAAGGCUAUGUUGGCCGGGCGACGGUUGUCCCGGUUUAAGCGUGUAGGCUGGUUUUCCAGGCAAAUCCGGAAAAUCAAGGCUGAGGCGUGAUGACGAGGCACUACGGUGCUGAAGCAACAAAUGCCCUGCUUCCAGGAAAAGCCUCUAAGCAUCAGGUAACAUCAAAUCGUACCCCAAACCGACACAGGUGGUCAGGUAGAGAAUACCAAGGCGCUUGAGAGAACUCGGGUGAAGGAACUAGGCAAAAUGGUGCCGUAACUUCGGGAGAAGGCACGCUGAUAUGUAGGUGAAGCGACUUGCUCGUGGAGCUGAAAUCAGUCGAAGAUACCAGCUGGCUGCAACUGUUUAUUAAAAACACAGCACUGUGCAAACACGAAAGUGGACGUAUACGGUGUGACGCCUGCCCGGUGCCGGAAGGUUAAUUGAUGGGGUCAGCGCAAGCGAAGCUCUUGAUCGAAGCCCCGGUAAACGGCGGCCGUAACUAUAACGGUCCUAAGGUAGCGAAAUUCCUUGUCGGGUAAGUUCCGACCUGCACGAAUGGCGUAAUGAUGGCCAGGCUGUCUCCACCCGAGACUCAGUGAAAUUGAACUCGCUGUGAAGAUGCAGUGUACCCGCGGCAAGACGGAAAGACCCCGUGAACCUUUACUAUAGCUUGACACUGAACAUUGAGCCUUGAUGUGUAGGAUAGGUGGGAGGCUUUGAAGUGUGGACGCCAGUCUGCAUGGAGCCGACCUUGAAAUACCACCCUUUAAUGUUUGAUGUUCUAACGUUGACCCGUAAUCCGGGUUGCGGACAGUGUCUGGUGGGUAGUUUGACUGGGGCGGUCUCCUCCUAAAGAGUAACGGAGGAGCACGAAGGUUGGCUAAUCCUGGUCGGACAUCAGGAGGUUAGUGCAAUGGCAUAAGCCAGCUUGACUGCGAGCGUGACGGCGCGAGCAGGUGCGAAAGCAGGUCAUAGUGAUCCGGUGGUUCUGAAUGGAAGGGCCAUCGCUCAACGGAUAAAAGGUACUCCGGGGAUAACAGGCUGAUACCGCCCAAGAGUUCAUAUCGACGGCGGUGUUUGGCACCUCGAUGUCGGCUCAUCACAUCCUGGGGCUGAAGUAGGUCCCAAGGGUAUGGCUGUUCGCCAUUUAAAGUGGUACGCGAGCUGGGUUUAGAACGUCGUGAGACAGUUCGGUCCCUAUCUGCCGUGGGCGCUGGAGAACUGAGGGGGGCUGCUCCUAGUACGAGAGGACCGGAGUGGACGCAUCACUGGUGUUCGGGUUGUCAUGCCAAUGGCACUGCCCGGUAGCUAAAUGCGGAAGAGAUAAGUGCUGAAAGCAUCUAAGCACGAAACUUGCCCCGAGAUGAGUUCUCCCUGACUCCUUGAGAGUCCUGAAGGAACGUUGAAGACGACGACGUUGAUAGGCCGGGUGUGUAAGCGCAGCGAUGCGUUGAGCUAACCGGUACUAAUGAACCGUGAGGCUUAACCUU
rnacentral:rRNA from 1 species